rnacentral:rRNA from 1 species
GGGGGGGCUAGCGUUGUUCGGAAUUACUGGGCGUAAAGGGCUCGUAGGUGGCCAACUAAGUCAUGCGUGAAAUCCCUCGGCUUAACCGGGGAACUGCGUCUGAUACUGGAUGGCUUGAAUCCGGGAGAGGGAUGCGGAAUUCCAGGUGUAGCGGUGAAAUGCGUAGAUAUCUGGAGGAACACCGGUGGCGAAGGCGGCAUCCUGGACCGGCAUUGACACUGAGGAGCGAAAGCCAGGGGAGCAAACGGGAUUAGAUACCCCGGUAGUCCUGGCCCUAAACGAUGAAUGCUUGGUGUGACGGGUAUCGAUCCCUGUCGUGCCGAAGCUAACGCAUUAAGCAUUCCGCCUGGGGAGUACGGUCGCAAGGCUG